CCCAGGAAGGAAGUGUUGCAUCACAUUCUUGCCCAAACUCCCCCUCUCCAGGAGGCACCUCUGCCAGCAGCACAAACCAAGUUGUAGCCAUUAAGGACCAAACAACUGUGAGAGAAAGACAGGCUGAGCAACAGGAAAACAAUGCUGCCCAUUUUAAUAAACACGGAGGCUUCUUCAAGAACACUUGUCUUGCAUGAACAUAGAAGCUAAUUAAAGAGACUUAGGAUUAGCAUUGUGCAUGGAUUCCACGACCCAAGGAAAGGUGGAAACCCAUUUCUGCAUAUUCACACGAGGUAACAUCAUGAGGGAAGCUCAGCGGUGGACCAUCUAUCCGUGCUGAGUAUUCAUUGUACUCCAGAGGUGGGAGAGGAAGAACAGUAUUUCGGAUGAGACAAGCCAGGGACUGAAUCUCUGGGGGCUGCCGACUCCAACCAGAGCAGAUCGGCAUUCCGGAGGAGA
ensembl:lncRNA